GAUGAACGCUGGCGGCGUGCUUAACACAUGCAAGUCGAACGAGAAAUGGAGACGGAAACCUUCGGGCGGAAGGCUUCAUUUCGAGUGGCGGACGGGUGAGUAACGCGUGGGUAACCUGCCUCAUACAGGGGGAUAACAGUUGGAAACGACUGUUAAUACCGCAUAAGACCACAGCACCGCAUGGUGCGGGGGUGAAAACUCCGGUGGUAUGAGAUGGACCCGCGUUCGAUUAGCCAGUUGGCGGGGUAACGGCCCACCAAAGCGACGAUCGAUAGCCGAUCUGAGAGGAUGACCGGCCACAUUGGGACUGAGACACGGCCCAAACUCCUACGGGAGGCAGCAGUGGGGAAUAUUGCACAAUGGGGGAAACCCUGAUGCAGCGACGCCGCGUGAGUGAAGAAGUACUUCGGUAUGUAAAGCUCUAUCAGCAGGGAAGAAAAUGACGGUACCUGAGUAAGAAGCCCCGGCUAACUACGUG
rnacentral:rRNA from 1 species